UGGGGGAAUUUUGGACAAUGGGGGAAACCCUGAUCCAGCCAUCCCGCGUGUGCGAUGAAGGCCUUCGGGUUGUAAAGCACUUUUGGCAGGAAAGAAACGUCGCGGGUUAAUACCCCGCGAAACUGACGGUACCUGCAGAAUAAGCACCGGCUAACUACGUGCCAGCAGCCGCGGUAAUACGUAGGGUGCAAGCGUUAAUCGGAAUUACUGGGCGUAAAGCGUGCGCAGGCGGUUCGGAAAGAAAGAUGUGAAAUCCCAGAGCUUAACUUUGGAACUGCAUUUUUAACUACCGGGCUAGAGUGUGUCAGAGGGAGGUGGAAUUCCGCGUGUAGCAGUGAAAUGCGUAGAUAUGCGGAGGAACACCGAUGGCGAAGGCAGCCUCCUGGGAUAACACUGACGCUCAUGCACGAAAGCGUGGGGGAGCAAACAGGAUUAGAUACCCUGGUAGUCCACGCCCUAAACGAUGUCAACUAGCUGUUGGGGGCCUUCGGGCCUUGGUAGCGCAGCUAACGCGUGAAGUUGACCGCCUGGGGAGUACGGUCGCAAGAUUAAAACUUAAAGGAAUUGACGGGGGUGCAU
rnacentral:rRNA from 1 species